GAUGAACGCUGGCGGCGUGCCUAAUACAUGCAAGUCGAGCGAACAGACGAUGAGCUUGCUCCUCUGACGUUAGCGGCGGACGGGUGAGUAACACGUGGAUAACCUACCUAUAAGACUGGGAUAACUUCGGGAAACCGGGGCUAAUACCGGAUAAUAUAUUGAACCGCAUUGUUCAAUAGUGAAAGACGGUUUUGCUGUCACUUAUCGAUGGAUCCGCGCCGAAUUAUCUAGUUGGUAAGGGAACGGCUUACCAAGGACACGAUACGUGGCCGACCUGAGAGGGGGAUGGCCCACACUGGAACUGAGAAACGCUCCAGACUCCUACGGGGGGCAGCAGUGGGGAAUCUUCGGCAAGGGGCGAAAGCCGGACGGAGCAACGCCGCGUGAGUGAUGAGGGUCUUCGGACCGUAAGACUCUGUUAUUAGGGAAGAACAGAUGUGUAAGUAACUGUGCACGUCGUGACGGUACCUAAUCAGAAAGCCACGGCUAACUACGUG
rnacentral:rRNA from 1 species